rnacentral:rRNA from 1 species
AAGGGCACCACAAGAACGCGUGGAGCAUGUGGCUUAAUUUGACUCAACGCGGGAAAUCUUACCGGGUCCGGACACACUGAGGAUUGACAGGCGAAGCAGUAGAUUAUUAAUUUUUUGCUAGUCAAAGGAUUUAACAAAUUUACUCUGUAAAUAUGCUAGUCCUUUCAUGAUUGUGUGAUAGGUGGUGCAUGGCCGUUCUUAGUUCGUGGAAUAAUCUGUCUGCUUAAUUGCGUCAAAACUUUCAGGCACACUCUCUGUUAUUAGGAACUUUUGUUGCAGGUAGCUUGGCUUCGGUUAGGCAUGCCUGUGGUGAUUGUGACUAGGGGAUGCUGUGUCUUUUGAAACGGACGUGACGCUGACUCUUUCUUGUCUUACAUGAUCUCAUACUAAUCUUUUAGGUUGGUGUGGGUGUGAUCGCAUGUAAGUUAAGUAAGGGGACUGUUGGGGAAUACCCAAAGGAAGGUAGGCGCAAUAACAGGUCUGUGAUGCCCUUAGAUGUUCCGGGCUGCACACGUGCUACAAUGAACAGUGCAGUAAGCAUAUACUCAAUUAUACAUUGUCACUCUCACGAGUGCUUUGUAUAAAAACCUACUUCGAGAGAUAGUAGGCAAUCAUUUCGAAGUACUGAUUUCCCUAAGCUAACAUGUGGAUUCUUUCUUCGGAUUGAAUUUCACGUUGCUCUUCUUGUGAGACUUCAUAGUGGGGACAGAGGGUUGUUUAUUUUCCCUCUCGUUUUUAACUAGGAAUGCCUUGUACGGGUCUUUGGUUCAACAAACCACCCGGAAUACGUCCCUGCCCUUUGUACACACCGCCCGUCA